GGAAAGUUUGAUUCUUUCUUAAAAUAUUUGUGAUCUUGCUGAAUUUGAAUGAAAGAUGUUACGAGUAAAUAAAAAUUAUCUUUUAAUAAGGUGGUUGUAAAAUAAAACAAGAAAAAUUCUAAUAAAAUAUAAAUCUCAGCAUAAAUUAUUAAACAAUUUAUUAGAGUAGGAUUUAGGAGCAAGAGUAAAACCCGGUAAAAAUUUGUGCCAGCAUCCGCGGUUAUACUUAAGGGUUGAAUAAAUAGAGGUUAUAAAGUCAGUUAAUAAUAUAAAUUUAUUUUUAUGAAUUGUAUGAAUAGUAAGUGAAAUUAGUUGUUCUUAUCAAUUAUUAUUAAAUUUUUGUUGAAGCUGAAUAAAUUUCGAUCUAAACCAGGAUUAGAUACCCUGUUAUACGAAAUAAUAAAACCUAUACGUUUAAUUAUUAAUAGUUAUAUUCUUAAAACUUAAAGAAUUUGGCGGUAAUUUAGUCCUGUCAGAGGAAUCUGUUUCUAAAUCGAUAAUCCGCGUUAAAUGUGACUCUUUUUAGUAAAGAUCAGCUUAUAUACCGUCAUCAUCAAAUAAUUUUUAAAAAAAAAAUUAUUGAAAUUUAAAUUAAUAUAAUAACAAAAAUUAGAUCAAGGUGUAGCCUAUAAAAGAGUUGAAAUGGAUUACAAUAAAAUUUAUUUAAUACGGAAUAGCUCAGGAAGAAGAGCUAAGAAGGUGGAUUUGAUUGUAUUUUGAAUUUAAAAUAUUGGAAAG
rnacentral:rRNA from 1 species